GACGAACGCUGGCGGCGUGCCUAAUACAUGCAAGUUGAGCGCUGAAGGUUGGUACUUGUACCAACUGGAUGAGCAGCGAACGGGUGAGUAACGCGUGGGGAAUCUGCCUUUGAGCGGGGGACAACAUUUGGAAACGAAUGCUAAUACCGCAUAAAAACUUUAAACACAAGUUUUAAGUUUGAAAGAUGCAAUUGCAUCACUCAAAGAUGAUCCCGCGUUGUAUUAGCUAGUUGGUGAGGUAAAGGCUCACCAAGGCGAUGAUACAUAGCCGACCUGAGAGGGUGGUCGGCCGCAUUGGGACUGAGACACGGCCCAAACUCCUGCGGGAGGCAGCAGUAGGGAAUCUUCGGCAAUGGACGAAAGUCUGACCGAGCAACGCCGCGUGAGUGAAGAAGGUUUUCGGAUCGUAAAACUCUGUUGGUAGAGAAGAACGUUGGUGAGAGUGGAAAGCUCAUCAAGUGACGGUAACUACCCAGAAAGGGACGGCUAACUACGUG
rnacentral:rRNA from 1 species